ACGGGGCGCUCGGGCCGCGGGGCAGGGGGCGCGGGGUGCCUCCUCGGCCUCGGCUCUCCCCGCCCCGGGGCGCCCCGAGACCGCCGCCUGCCUCCGCGGGCAGCUUUGUUCUUCUUUCCUCCAACUACCUGUCUGAGCCGCGGGCCCCAGAGGCCCCAAAGAGAGGCCCGGAGGGUCUCCCCAGCAGCAUCCGAGGGGCGCUCUCGGGGAGCUAGGGGCCAGAGUCCGCGGUCCCUCCGUGCCUGCCUCCCUCCCCUCGUGCCUCGGUCUUUUGUUGCCUCUACUCCUCGGCACGGCGCAGCCUGGGCUCUCUUCCCCCUCCCGCUUGGGAGUUUGCAGUGUGGACGCUCGGCAAGCACACUCCAGAUAACAGCACUAUGGGAAGGAGGAAGAAUUUAAUGAAAGCUUGUACCUGCUGGCUGAAACUAAGCAGCCUAUUUAUAAACUGCUCUGAAAUGCCAGGGAGCAGGUAACUCCCAAAUGAAAAAGCAAGCAGGUCUCUCCCACCAUCAGUGGGAUGGCUGAGCUGUCUGUGGUGCCUUUGCAUCUUGCUGCUUCGCUGACCCUGAAGGUCUGCCCCAGCCUCAGGCGACCAAGCCUACAGCGACCUCAAGGAGCAGCUGCCUCAUCAGUGCUUGUAGGAGGCUCAGGACGGAGAGGGGUCUGAUGCCCCCAUUUUGUUCCCUUCUUUUGUCUUCUUUUGACUUCCCUAGGGAAGGGAAAAUGUGCUAUGAAGUUAAAAGAGGAAUGAAGGAAAAAGAGAGAAUGGAGGGUCUUCUAAAAUGUGUUUAUUUCUCAAAAGCCACAUAGUGCUUCACAAAUUCACAUUAAUCUAACACUUUUGCACUGUCCCCUCCCUCACUCCAGCCCCAACCAUGGGGCGAAGCCCAGCAGUGUGGGAAUGUACUCGCAAACCCCACACAGACCCGUGGCCACGUGUGGAUGCACUCAACAGGAGCCAGCUAUAUUUCAGUUCUUGCUACUUGUAUCUGUCUUUAGCAUCCUCCUACAACGAGCAACACAGAUAAAUAAAUCCCCAAACCUCACCUUGGCACUGGUUCCAGCUCCUCCCCUCUCCACCUUUAGCAGCCAUUAUCAUAAAUCACAUUCUUUGAUAUAUCUUUCUCAAUGUCUCCCUCGCUCAGAUUGCCUUUUAGUAAAAGUUCAUAAAACAAAACAGAAUUUACUAAAAAUAGGUUAGUGGAAAGGUGAGCAAUACAACUUCUGAAAAAAAAAUUAAACCAGUGUAUGAUUUGGGGAUUUAGUGAAGUGAACUGAUAAACUGGGACAUUCAAAUCUAUUAUGCCAAUAUUUUCUCUGGCAAGAGAUUGCUUGCUGUCUUUGCAUGUAGUUUCAUUUCAGGACUUAAUUCCCUGUUUAAAAAAAAAAACUGGAAGAAAAUUUUGCAUUAGUUGUAUUUUACUUAGAUCCAGAGACGAAGCUCUGCUAAUGCAUAUUACAAUAUAUAAUUAAGCAUAAAUACAUUAAAAUAUUAAAACACUGUAAGUUAUUAGAAAUAAUGAAAUUUCUUGCAUAAAGUCAUUGCAUGAAUUACUUAGGUGCUUGUCAGAUCCCUAAUCAGAAAGAGCUGCCAGAGAUGGCAGAGACUUCACUUGCCAAGACAACGUAGUCCAUCAGCAAAUCAGUGGACUUGGGAAGGAGGUGGUUUUCCAUUUAAGCUGCAGCAUCACAGAAAGUUACCCUCUAAAGUCAUUCUUAGAUGAAUACUUCUAUGUCAUACACAGCUAAAUUCCAACAGUCAAAACAAUUAUUCUAAGCUAAUUAAAAUACAAAUAAAAUUUUAGGCUAUGGGAUAACAGAUCAUGAGAUAAAAACAAUUCUACGAUUGUUGGAGGGGCCCUGUAUGAUAUAUUCAGAUCUUGCUCAUCUCUUCCAAAUCUUUGUUUUUUUAAAUAGAAAAUGUAAAUUAUAUUUAGCUUAAGUCUAUGUUUGAAUUUAAAUCACUAAAAAAAUCUACUUUCUAUAAAGCAUUUGGAGCAAUCUUGCAUAUAAUACUCAUUUGCUUAGCUAACUCUUUUUUUCUGUAGAUAAGUAAGGUAAAUGUUAGGCCACUAGACAAAAUUAUCAUACAUCUUCAAUCAUCAAUGUCCAGAGUAAUGAGUCAAUAUAUGUAUGUACGUAUGUAUAUGCAUUUAAAAAAAUCACUCUUUUGACACAUUUCACUUUUCUUUGUAAGUAAUAUAGGUGGGCUAGAUCAGGGGUUGUCAAGUCAGAUUAGAAUCAUCUGAGGAGAUGUGGGCAUCUGGCGAUGCCCAUACCAAUUAAAAGAGUUUCUAGGGGUGUGGAUGGAAAGUGGGAACUGGUAGUUUUACAAGGUCCCUGUCACCAGGGUUGAGACACCAUAGCUUAGAGUCCUGUAACUUGUCCUUACCACCAGUUCAUUCUCUUCUCUCCUUCUGUGAGGAGCGCUUCUAUACUAAGACCCUGAAGGUAACUAGAAAGAGACAAACUCCACCAAGUCAUCCAGUGGUGCACCUUUGAGGACUUCCACUACUCGCCUAGGUUCUAUGAGGCCAGUAUGGAGACAGAGAGGUGGGGGCCUGUGGGGAACUGGAGGCUACAGGCCCCACUUCUAGGAGAUCUCCCAGCUCCAGCCCACUGUGCCAUCAGGAAUGUGGGCCCAUGGCUGCCUGGCUUUCAAGAGAAGCUAGAAAUCUGCUUUCUAUGUGAAAACCUCUUGAUUUUUAAAUGCUUGCAAUGAAUUAAAAAUUUAUCAAAACUGUGUUGUCCAAACAAUCAUGUAUGUGACCAAACAUGGCCUACAAAAUGCUAAUUUACUACCUCUGAACUAGCACAAUAUCCUGAAAAAAGGCAUAAAUAAAAAAAUAUUGGCAGAAUGCA
rnacentral:lncRNA from 1 species